rnacentral:rRNA from 1 species
GUCUAGUAUAAGCAAUCUAUACGGUGAAACUGCGAAUGGCUCAUUAAAUCAGUUAUCGUUUAUUUGAUAGUACCUUACUACUUGGAUAACCGUGGUAAUUCUAGAGCUAAUACAUGCUAAAAACCCCGACUUACGAAGGGGUGUAUUUAUUAGAUAAAAAACCAAUGCCCUUCGGGGCUCCUUGGUGAUUCAUAAUAACUUAACGAAUCGCAUGGCCUUGUGCCGGCGAUGGUUCAUUCAAAUUUCUGCCCUAUCAACUUUCGAUGGUAGAGUAGUGGUCUACCAUGGUUUCAACGGGUAACGGGGAAUUAGGGUUCUAUUCCGGAGAGGGAGCCUGAGAAACGGCUACCACAUCCAAGGAAGGCAGCAGGCGCGCAAAUUACCCAAUCCCGACACGGGGAGGUAGUGACAAUAAAUACUGAUACAGGGCUCUUUUGGGUCUUGUAAUUGGAAUGAGUACAAUUUAAAUCCCUUAACGAGGAACAAUUGGAGGGCAAGUCUGGUGCCAGCAGCCGCGGUAAUUCCAGCUCCAAUAGCGUAUAUUAAAGUUGUUGCAGUUAAAAAGCUCGUAGUUGAACCUUGGGCCUGGCUGGCCGGUCCGCCUCACCGCGUGCACUGGUCCGGCCGGGUCUUUCCUCCUGGGGAGCUGCAUGCCCUUCACUGGGUGUGUCAGGGAACCAGGACUUUUACUUUGAAAAAAUUAGAGUGUUCAAAGCAGGCCUAUGCUCGAAUACAUUAGCAUGGAAUAAUAGAAUAGGACGUGUGGUUCUAUUUUGUUGGUUUCUAGGACCGCCGUAAUGAUUAAUAGGGAUAGUCGGGGGCAUCAGUAUUCAAUUGUCAGAGGUGAAAUUCUUGGAUUUAUUGAAGACUAACUACUGCGAAAGCAUUUGCCAAGGAUGUUUUCAUUAAUCAGUGAA